AGCAACUGACACUAUUCCCUCUGAAUUACGAGGCUUUCUGUAACAUCUACCAGCCGAAAUUUCUACAGAUGUCACCCAAGAAUAAAAAGAUAUGUCUGGUUGGUUGUGUAUCCUCCUCCCUGUGCUCCAGUACAGAAAAUAUCAGAGACAACAACAGCCAUUGAUCACUGGAGAACAGGUUGAAGACUUCUUUUCUUGAUCGCCCAUUUGCUCCACUGAAGGAGGGAAUAUGAAAAUAUGGGUUGUCAGCCUGGCCCGUCACCUACUAAACCCCUGUAAACCACACACGAGUCCUGGGUAGAAUUAUGGAAGAAGUAACCCCCUGGCAAUGCAGAAAAUCUUAGAACUUGCAGCAUAGACUACCCCUCUUGGCAAGACAUCUUGUUAUUAUGCAAGUAAUGGUCCAACAGUCUGAAGAUGGAAUUCCGACAAGUGAAUCAUUUGGCUUCCAUCUGAACCUGACAAACUGAUCUCUGCCCUUAAGAAACAAUGCCAAAUAUGUGGCAUCUCCCCACAUACCUCGGCUCUAAUCUUCUGAAAGCUUACCAAAAAUGUUUUUUUAAAUCUCUGUGUCGAUAUUGAACU